rnacentral:rRNA from 1 species
UGGGGAAUUUUGCACAAUGGGGGAAACCCUGAUGCAGCGACGCCGCGUGAUUUAGAAGGCCUUCGGGUUGUAAAAAUCUUUUCUAUGGGAAGAAAAUGACAGUACCAUAGGAAUAAGGACCGGCUAAUUACGUGCCAGCAGCCGCGGUAAUACGUAAGGUCCGAGCGUUGCCCGGAAUCAUUGGGCGUAAAGGGUACGUAGGCGGGUAAGCAAGUUAGAAGUGAAAUCCUAUAGCUCAACUAUAGUAAGCUUUUAAAACUGCUCAUCUUGAGGUAUGGAAGGGAAAGUGGAAUUCCUAGUGUAGCGGUGAAAUGCGCAGAUAUUAGGAGGAAUACCGGUGGCGAAGGCGACUUUCUGGCCAUAACCUGACGCUGAGGUACGAAAGCGUGGGUAGCAAACAGG